AGCAGCAGUGAGGAAUAUUGGUCAAUGGUCGCAAGACUGAACCAGCCAUGCCGCGUGCAGGAUGAAUGUUCUAUGAAUUGUAAACUGCUUUUCUAAGGGAAGAAACCUAUCCUCGUGAGGGUAGUUGCCGGUACCUUAGGAAUAAGCAUCGGCUAACUCCGUGCCAGCAGCCGCGGUAAUACGGAGGAUGCAAGCGUUAUCCGGAUUCAUUGGGUUUAAAGGGUGCGUAGGCGGAUUAAUAAGUCAGUGGUGAAAUCUUGCGGCUCAACCGUAACAUUGCCAUUGAUACUGUUAGUCUUGAAUGCAGUUGAGGUAGGCGGAAUGUGUAAUGUAGCGGUGAAAUGCUUAGAUAUUACACAGAACACCGAUUGCGAAGGCAGCUUGCUAAACUGUGAUUGACGCUGAUGCACGAAAGCGUGGGGAUCAAACAGGAUUAGAUACCCUGGUAGUCCACGCUGUAAACGAUGAUUACUCGUUGUUUGCGAUAUAUUGUCAGCGA
rnacentral:rRNA from 1 species